rnacentral:misc_RNA from 1 species
UUGGUUUGUUAUUGGUGGUCGGCUUUGCAACAACUUCCACCUGACAUGCCUAUUCGUUCGUCGGUUAAGGCUUCGAUUGCUUAAACAAAUUGUGGGUUUCUUGUUUUGCCUACCUAACAAACGGUAUUUGAUUGGCUUAUCUAAGAUCUGUUCGUUGUUUGUCAUGCUUAUGACCUAAGAUGAACCCUAAACUUGUCUCUUUGAACCACAUCAUCAACCUUUUUUUGGUGUAGUGGGGCAUCGAGCCUUGCUUGGUCUCUUCGAUGUAGUGCUUGAUGUGGGCAUGGGUCUUGUUAGAUCCUUGUUAUGUCCUUGUUUUGUGUUUACGCUCUUUAAAAUGACUGCUUGGCACGUGUUGGUCWCGUAAAAACGUGCCGGGCAUUGUCKAAGAGGAAUGUUACCUGGU